UACGUAGGGUGCAAGCGUUGUCCGGAAUCAUUGGGCGUAAAGAGCGUGUAGGCGGCCAGACAGGUCAGCUGUGAAAACUCGAGGCUCAACCUCGAGACGUCGGUUGAAACCGUCUGGCUAGAGUCCGGAAGAGGAGAGUGGAAUUCCCGGUGUAGCGGUGAAAUGCGCAGAUAUCGGGAAGAACACCCGUGGCGAAGGCGGCUCUCUGGGACGGUACUGGACGGCUGAGACGCGAAAGCGUGGGGAGCGAACGAGGAU
rnacentral:rRNA from 1 species